AUUGAACGCUGGCGGCAGGCCUAACACAUGCAAGUCGAGCGGAUGAAGGGAGCUUGCUCCUGGAUUCAGCGGCGGACGGGUGAGUAAUGCCUAGGAAUCUGCCUGGUAGUGGGGGAUAACGUCCGGAAACGGGCGCUAAUACCGCAUACGUCCUGAGGGAGAAAGUGGGGGAUCUUCGGACCUCACGCUAUCAGAUGAGCCUAGGUCGGAUUAGCUAGUUGGUGGGGUAAAGGCCUACCAAGGCGACGAUCCGUAACUGGUCUGAGAGGAUGAUCAGUCACACUGGAACUGAGACACGGUCCAGACUCCUACGGGAGGCAGCAGUGGGGAAUAUUGGACAAUGGGCGAAAGCCUGAUCCAGCCAUGCCGCGUGUGUGAAGAGGGUCUUCGGAUUGUAAAGCACUUUAAGUUGGGAGGAAGGGCAGUAAGUUAAUACCUUGCUGUUUUGACGUCACCAACAGAAUAAGCACCGGCUAACUUCGUG
rnacentral:rRNA from 1 species